GCGUCCAUUGUCUAAUGGAAAGGACAGAGGUUCUGUAAACCUUCGGUAUACGGAGGUUUUGCGGACCUUGGGUAUAGGUUCAAAUCCUAUUGGACGCG
rnacentral:tRNA from 1 species